AGGUGGAUUUAAACAUCUGAUGCAUGGGAUCCUCUGGUCUUCAACUGACAUCAGCUUAAUGGGACAAAAGUCUGCUGCAGGAGAAGAGAAAAAACUUUGGGGAAACACCAGCUUCAUCAGCAGCUAAUAAUGAAACAGAGUAAUUUAUGGGGUGAACAUAAUGAAAAGAAGGCAGAAAAGAAGUAUGAUGAAGUGUCCACUCAGCAGUGUUUUCCCUGAGUUUUUGCAGAAAUCCUCUCCAAAGAUGCAGCUCCAUCUAUCCAGCUCCUUUGACGUGCAUGACAUAAAUAAAAUAACUACAAGGGAGCGUGAAAGGAGGAAGAAAACUUGGGGGUGCAUGCCCCUUCCUGCUCCAUUGGCAGGUUUCUCAUGAGAGGUUUCACACAGACUGUCCUCUGCUUUAUUGGCCAGGGAGUUGACGUAGAUCUCACACUCACAUUUGGUCAUGGCCUGGAAAAUGCCCCCUGGUCCAGGUGGGGUCGAAUAUGAUGGAGAGUGUUGGUUAGUUCAUGUACCUUGGCUACAAGCAGAGUUCAAAUGGAUGAAGCAAACUGGGCGUUCUUCGACAAAUGGGUCUCGUCACCUGCUGUAUGAAAUCCAUGUCUUGCUUAUGGAUGCAAAAACAUCUUUGCACUGAGACAAAGUUCAGGACCUAUCAAACCUGUGUACUAUCUGUAUUGCUGGAUGGGUCGGAAACGUGGACUCUCUACCACGCAGAUAUGGACCAGCUAGAGGCAUUCCAUAUGUACUGUCAGCACCAAAUCCCGAGCAUAAAGUGAUUUGACUUUGUGCAAAGUGUCACAAACUCUCAAAGGGCUGGCCUUUCCUCAGUCACUCUCUAUACUCAACAGCAGUGUUCUGUGCUCUUUGGCCAUGUUGCCAGGAUGGACAAAAAUGCCCCAGCACACCAGGCUUUCAAACUGUCCAUUGACAUGCAAAGGGGUACAACCCGAAACUUACCAGGCACCACCUGCAGGGCCAUUCCACAAAUUUACAGAUUCACAGGAUUGAGCCAGCUCAGGGAAGUUCACUUCACAAUGUCUGUUGUGACACCAUCAAGCAUAGUCACUCUUGUUGGUGCAAUGGUUCUUAGUAGACAGUGUGUGUUCGCUUGAUUAUUGAAAGCUAUCACCUUCCGCUCUCCUGGCAUAAGGGAGUUUGUGGCCACAUUGCACCACCAUAGCAUCCAUCUGUUGGUCUUUGCACUGCUGGGGCCUCUGCUCCCAAAACCUUGGCUGAAUGGAGCCCAAUAUUGGUAGCUUGAACAAAUGGACAGCUAAGGGGGAAUAUGAAAAUGGUCUGCAUGUAUUUGAAUGGAGUUAACAAAGUGGGGGAGAUGAAUUGUUUAGGGGCGCCUAAGGAGAGAUCAGUUGGUUUAAUUAGUAUGAAACUAAGCACUGGGAAAUUUAGGCAGGACAUAAAUAAUAAUAAAAAUCCUAAAAAGUAUAACAUAUUGUGGAAGAGUCUUUGGUGGAAAUGGUGGAACUUGAAACUAGAGUCAUUUGAAACUAGAAAACACAGAAAAAUAUAAUGUCAGGAACAAUACUACACAGAUAUGGAGAUAAGUUUUUUUUUUUCCUUUUUAAUUUCCAUGCUUCAGUACUUCAGGAAGAGAUUUGCAGGCAAAGACUGAGGGGUAAUGGCACCAUGCUGAUAUAUAACUAUUAGAUUUGGAGGGACUGCUAUUAUGCAGUGAUUUCUGCUUAUAUAAGGUAAAGGCCUGGCUGAAAUUGUUUUUCUCUUUUGCAUAUCUUCAUACUUAGUUAGUAAAAUGUCACUUCUGAUACUUGUGAUAAGAGAAAACAAAACCAGAUCUAAAUGUAUAAUCUUCCAAUAAAGUCAACUUUUUCCA